GUUGAUCUGCAUCUGAAAUCUCUUUAUAAUAGUCGCGUAUAUUAUAGUUAAUUUCACCAAUAUCUGUGUAUCUUUUAUUUGGUUAUUUGGCCUGAACCUACAGUUCAAGGUUAGUAAUUAUUUGGUCCGAGCCUACUAUUCCUUUCCAUGUCUUGUAUAAUUCUCUUUUUUGACAUGAAGAGUUCCUGGAGGUUGGAUGGCAAUUUGAAAAUUCCAGUGUAUGCUUCAAGAUGUAUGCAUAUAAUUUUGGAGUCUAUUCAUGUUGGUUCAGCAUGUUUCUACUACACUCCACAUCUCACAGUAUUUAGAGCAGAGGGCCUUCGAUAGUGAAUACUGCAUAAAAUGGUGUUGUUCCGUGGGAUGCGGAAUUUGUUGUUUCAUUCAUCCCCUAUCCUUGGUGUUGUUUUACAUAUCUUAUACUCAUUUGCUUUGUUUCAGCGGCAGGGUAUACAACAUAGGAAAACUUGACUAAGCUGUUCUGAAAUUCCGGUUCCAUUGGGUGAUUUCUGUUUUCUUAAUAAAUUGGUGGGAGUGUGAGAUAACUAUUAAGCCAAUUAGUUGCUGUGUACAUUUAACAAGCGGUCAGUUGGGUGGUGAUAAUUAUUUUUGUGUACACAUAGUUUAGUCAGGGCAUGCCCAUGAACUGUUGCUUGCAUAUUGUAUCAUGUGAACGUAAGUGAAUAAAUCUUCCUUGGCUGAAAUGUCAUAUCCGGUUUUGUGAAGUUUAUAUAAGCUUGCAUUUUUUUGUUGCUUUGACCAUUUUCUUCUUUUCCUUUGAUAGCUAAGAUGCACAUGUAAAAUCACAUAAUUGGAUCCUUCGGAGCCUGGUAGAUUCAGUACCAAUUGUCGACUUAGCACUUACCAUGUGCUGCAUAAUUGUUUCAGAUUAGCAUCCUUGUACAGCAGCAAAUCAACUAGGAGCCUCUCCUGAGAAGCAAAGAUGUAGAUUGUCCACCUUGAAGGUUAUAGUUGCUAAAGAAGCUACAUGAGAUUUAGAAUAUUUUAUCUCACAACUUUCACUUCAUCAGCCCAAUAAUGAAAGCAGAAGUAUGCAUUAAAUAUACAAAGGUCUCCACAAGGUUUGCAUAAGACGUACCUUGACUCUUUAUAUAGACAAAGCUCUGAGGGAUGAAGCGUUUGGGAGCCCGGAUGAAGAAUGCUUCUAAGGCGGAGAAAGAGAAGUGAUGAGAAUACUUCCAAACCGCUCUGAAUUUUUAUUUUGGCAAACUCGGACUCCUUGUUUGAUAAAAUACAUCUGAAGAGCAUUUUUGCGCACUGUUCAAAUAAACUCUUCAUUUUUGUGUCUCUGUCAAACAAUGCAUUUCAAAUAA